ACAAUGGCUCUUCUCAGAGCCAUUCACAGUCCGAGAUAUCUCGCC
rfam:Leptosomus discolor contig25591, whole genome shotgun sequence.